UGCCCAGCAACUCCAAUCCCUACCUCCUCGCAGUACUGGCCGAGAUACAAGUAACCUUAGGGAAUAUCAGGUAACCAACCCUGGUGGGAACUCUGGUCGUAUGCUGACAGGAAAGG
rnacentral:ribozyme from 1 species